rnacentral:rRNA from 1 species
UACGAAGGGGGCUAGCGUUGUUCGGAAUUACUGGGCGUAAAGCGCACGUAGGCGGAUCGAUCAGUCAGGGGUGAAAUCCUGGAGCUCAACUCCAGAACUGCCUUCGAUACUGGGAGUCUUGAGUCCGGGAGAGGUGAGUGGAACUGCGAGUGUAGAGGUGAAAUUCGUAGAUAUUCGCAAGAACACCAGUGGCGAAGGCGGCUCACUGGCCCGGUACUGACGCUGAGGUGCGAAAGCGUGGGGAGCAAACAGGG